AAAAUUAGAGUGUUCAAAGCAGGCAGAUUCAAUUUUCUGCCACCGAAUACAUUAGCAUGGGAUAAUGGAAUAGGACCCUGUCCUCCUAUUUUCAGUUGGUUUUGGCAGCGCGAGGACUAGGGUAAUGAUUAAUAGGGAUAGUUGGGGGCAUUAAUAUUUAAUUGUCAGAGGUGAAAUUCUUGGAUUUAUGAAAGAUUAACUUCUGCGAAAGCAUCUGCCAAGGAUGUUUUCAUUAAUCAAGAACGAAAGUUAGGGGAUCGAAGACGAUCAGAUACCGUCGUAGUCUUAACCAUAAACGAUGCCGACCAGCGAUUAGGAGACGUUGAAUACAAAACACCACCAUCGGCGCGGUCGUCCUUGGCGCGUUGGUCCUUCACGGGGCCGGCGCGAGGGCGGCUUAGCCCGGUGGCACCGGUGAA
rnacentral:rRNA from 1 species